rnacentral:rRNA from 1 species
UACGGAGGAGGCAAGCGUUAUCCGGAAUUAUUGGGCGUAAAGCGUCCGCAGGUGGCGAUUCAAGUCUGCGGUCAAAGACUGGGGCUUAACCCUGGAAAGGCCGUGGAAACUGAAAAGCUAGAGUGCAGUAGGGGUAGAGGGAAUUCCCAGUGUAGCGGUGAAAUGCGUAGAGCUCGGGAAGAACAUCGGUGGCGAAAGCGCUCUGCUGGACUGCAACUGACACUCAGGGACGAAAGCUAGGGGAGCGAAUGGG